UACGGAGGGUGCGAGCGUUAUCCGGAAUUAUUGGGCGUAAAGAGCUCGUAGGCGGUUUGUCGCGUCUGCUGUGAAAACCCGAGGCUCAACCUCGGGCCUGCAGUGGGUACGGGCAGACUAGAGUGAUGUAGGGGAGACUGGAAUUCCUGGUGUAGCGGUGAAAUGACGCAGAUAUCAGGAGGAACACCGAUGGCGAAGGCAGGUCUCUGGGCAUUAACUGACGCUGAGGAGCGAAAGCAUGGGGAGCGAACAGG
rnacentral:rRNA from 1 species